rnacentral:rRNA from 1 species
CAGUCGCCGCGGUAACACGAAGGGUGCAAGCGUUAAUCGGAAUUACUGGGCGUAAAGCGUGCGUAGGCGGUUUGUUACGUCUGUUGUGAAAUCCCCGGGCUCAACCUGGGAAUGGCAAUGGAUACUGGCAAGCUAGAGUGUGUCAGAGGAUGGUGGAAUUCCCGGUGUAGCGGUGAAAUGCGUAGAGAUCGGGAGGAACAUCAGUGGCGAAGGCGGCCAUCUGGGACAACACUGACGCUGAGGCACGAAAGCGUGGGGAGCAAACAGGAUUAGAUACCCGCGUAGUCCCUGUCUCUUAUAA